CCCUCUUCCUGUUCACGGACGGGGAGCCGUCGCCGCCCCUUCCCCUUCCAAAGCUUGCGCUCUUCCUCUCUUCCCCGUCCCCUCGCGCCGCCGGCCGCCAGACCGCCGACUUCUUCGCCUCCGGGAAGCACCACCUUGUUUUCUGUUCGGCGGCGGCCGUUGUCGAGCUCGAGCCCGGGUGCGACGGCGCGUUUUUGAGCAUGGCUGCGGCCCGAAGCGGCGGGGGUAGAGGCGCAGGGCGAGGAGCACCCGCCGGAGGCGCUCGAUGUGGCUCCCCCGUCACUCCUUCUACGCUGACUGCAGGGUUAGGAUUUGCUAUUGGAUUGGUGACUGCCGUGAGCUGAUAACAUAUCAGGUCACUAUGAUCUCCCGUCCCUAUUGAUCGAGGAUGCUUUGCUAGUUCUGCCUUUGCUCGGCCAUCCCAUUGCAGGUUGCCACCAAUGGGAAUACAGCCAGUGGACUGGUUUUGCUUGUCAGCGACCAGAACAAGAACAAGUCAGUUCUAUCUAUACAUAUUCAACUUUGGGGAUGAUUGGAGGCUCUGUGUUCAUAGUUUAUAUGGGUCAUCUUUAUAUCUGGGCCAUGGUGGCCGUGAGAGCUUUUUAACCUACUCAGAAGAUCGAGCGAAGAGAAGCAACUGUCAGGGCUCAGGCUGCUGGAUUGGUAGCUUAUAUGGCAUUCUGAUUAUACUAUUAUUUUGAACCAGAAAAUUGUCAAUGACUACAUAUAUCUUUGUGGAAACAAGUUUCAUCACUUCUUCACAGACACUUCUUCAUGGCAUUCUUAGUCGGGAGCUUGGUAACAGCUUAAACUUCAGAUCACUUGCUGUAUAGGGUUGUCAGCAGCAUAAUAAAGUGCCCGAAGUUUAUUUGCUAUUUUUCUUUAUAUUGCAGGUAAGGCUCAAUAUAUCUUUCAGUAUGCAAAUAAUUUCCAUUGAUGACGAUUUGUUUAAAAACUUCCAUCUCGUUUUAAGAAUAUUUUUAUCCUAUAAUAUGUGUAAAGAGCUUAUCGAAAUCAGAGUAAUAGACUGUAUCGUACCCAUGACAUUUACAGCCUGCUUGGUACUGAAUAUUGCAGGGAGAUGCACAGUACAUAUAAAACUAUGUAAGAAAACUGUUUCUUGCACAUUUAGACGGAUUGUGAUAUAACUUAUAUAUUCCAUUUUACUGUAGUUUAGCAUGCUGUACAAUCCUGCUAUCCAUGGAUGAUUGCGCCUGUUUCUUUCAUGCGGUCCAUUUUCCCUUCAGGAUAUGUUUUGAAAACAUGUUAUCAUGUAGAUUUGUGCAGUCAUGGUCAACUGGUACAGAUAUGUAUAGUUUCAAAAGAACAUUACAGAUAUGUAUAGUUUCAAAAGAACAGUACGACAACUAAUUAUCGCUGACUUGCAUCUCUCUUUUUGUUGUGUUGAUUGCUUUUGCCAAGUCAUUUUGUCCUUUACUAUAUUUAGUUAUUUACCAAUGCUUAACAAUACCACUUUUGCUUGGCUAUAGUAGAUCUUGCAGGUUGUAUGAUUCCUUUUAUACUUCCAAAUUUUUAUUAGUUACCACUAUAUACUUCCAAAUCUUGUACUGAACCUGCUCAAUAGUAGAACAGAGUUCAGUUAUCUGAAUCAUAGCAGCACACACAUACACCGCAGUUCGUAAUGUCAUUUACUAGGGGUUGCGUUAGGGUAUUUUAUUUCCAUUAUAAACUGAUAAUAAUUAUGAGUUUAGUAAGGUAACAAUAAUCUGGGUUAUAGCAGAACAUUAGAUGUGGUAUGCUUGUAUGAGUAGAAUGUAGAGUUUAUAAAUGAACUAAAAUCUGAGAGCAGGAAGUGGUAGGUUUAAUUUCAGUUAGAAAAAUUGGUGUACUGCAGCAUCAUAUAUUCAGGUAAUCCCUUGCAUUUUUUUGCCAUGUUCAAGCUUUAUACAUCGUUUGUAUAUGCAUAACAUACGCAACAUAAACUGGAGUUCGUAGUGUCAGGAGUAAGAGGGGUGCAACUAAGUAGUAGCAUGUUACAGGAUAAGAACGGUUGUUUAGUUUAACAAUGCCCUUUAACAGUGUAACUCCAAAGAGGUCGGAUAAAAUGAAUUAUUGAUAUAUCUGAACUCUAGAGUAUAAGAUGCAUCUUCCUACGCUUCCUGAGAUCACGGUUAUCGUACCUAUUUAUUUGAGAUAUGCUAAGUGUUCCUUUGAUAGUAGAUGCAACUUGCAGCUAUUGUGGACGUUUGUUUGUUUGUGGGAAAUUUUAUCUCUUCCCUACAGUCAAAGCUCAUGUGCAAUUUGGAGAGAAAUGCACGCAUGCUAUCGCUGCAUUUGACAAUUCCUUUUAGGUAUCAAGCCAAUAGCGGCUUACGUUUCCUGGUCAUUUUUCUCUUGGAAAUGGAAGUUGUUGCUUCCUAGGUGAGCUGAGGCACGGGAAUGAGUUUGCACCUACUGUUGGAUUCUUCCUUACUACCCACCCGUCUCAGGUAUAAGGAUUCACUUCGAUUGCAGUUUCCCUACCCGAAGUUCAUCCACGGCUACUGGACUGUGUUGUCUCCCUACUUUUAUGGUAGAGAAUGGUGUGGCACCGAUGAUUGAUGGAGUAGGAUUUAACCAAGCUUGGUGUUACCAAGCUACACCCGUUAUCACCUGAAGUUAUCUCACGCCAAGAGCGAGGAUCAACAUUGGAGUUAAAGGUCAUAGUGGCAACGCCGCUUGGACUGCUUCUGGACUUCCACGGUGACACUAGGCUGUUCCAAGGCCAACUUGAGCUCCUCCUUGUGCAGAUCCGUGUGUCACAACAUGCAAGCAAAUCAAAUGAAGGAGUGUGGACAAAGACAAAGUUAUAUAUCAAGCAAAUCAGGUGAAGGCGUGUGGACAAAGUUAUAUAUCUAAUGGUCAACCAUGUAGUUUACUACUAUGGCCUGCUUUUGGUUUCUAUCAUACCAAACCUUGCUUAGGUAUUUCAUUGUCACAUUUUAUAACAAAUGCGCGGAUGGCAUGUAGAUAGUCAUUUUUAUAUAUUUUACGAGGUCAUUACUGUUGUGAGUAUCUACCAUCACCUACCCUUUGAGUAAUAUCAGAUAUAUUUCUAUCCUGAGAUAUAUUGAGUGAUGUCAGCUCUUAAUAGAAAAGGAGUUAUAUCAGAAGUUUGAUCAUUGAACUUUUGAGUAAUUCCUUGAUACAUUUCCAUCCUGAGAUAGUCUCUAUAAGUGCAUCUAGUGUCAUCCCUAGUUGGUUUUGGAGUAUUGACGACAAACCUAG